UUUCCGUAGGUGAACCUGCGGAAGGAUCAUUAAUGAGUUGUCAUGGGGUUCGAUGCUGGCAGCCAAUUUUUGGAUGCAUGUGCUUGCCCUAACAAUCAUCUUCUUCCAAACACCUGUGCACAUUUUUGAGGGAGUCUUGAGUUGGUUGCCGCUCUUGGGUGAUUUUCUCACAUUCCCUUAAAUCAUUAUACGCUAUUAACAAUGUUGAACGUGCUCUGUGCCGCAAGGCCAUUAAUAUAAUACAACUUUUAACAACGGAUCUCUUGGCUCUCGCAUCAAUGAAGAACGCAGC
rnacentral:misc_RNA from 1 species